CCAAACGGGAGCCUACCAUGCAGUCGAGGGGUAUAGUUAGCUUGCUAACUUGAGACCGGCGCACGGGUGCGUAACGCGUAUGCAAUCUACCUUGUACAGGGGGAUAGCCCACAGAAAUUUGGAUUAAUACCCCAUGGUGUUUAGAAGUGGCAUCACUUUUUUACUAAAGUUCCAACGGUACAAGAUGAGCAUGCGUCCCAUUAGCUAGUUGGUAUGGUAACGGCAUACCAAGGCUAUGAUGGGUAGGGGUCCUGAGAGGGAGAUCCCCCACACUGGUACUGAGACACGGACCAGACUCCUACGGGAGGCAGCAGUGAGGAAUAUUGGUCAAUGGUCGCAAGACUGAACCAGCCAUGCCGCGUGCAGGAAGACGGUCCUAUGGAUUGUAAACUGCUUUUAUACAGGAAGAAACCCUCUCACGUGUGGGAGCUUGACGGUACUGUAUGAAUAAGCAUCGGCUAACUCCGUGCCACCACCA
rnacentral:rRNA from 1 species